CUCCCUCCUUUCUUUCUAUAUAGUUCUCCUCUCUUCACCCCCAGACCCCUCUGGAAGAGCCUCUCCCUUAUGAGCAAUAUCCUUUGCUUCUCUCUUCCUAUUCCCUUCUCUCUCUCUCUCUCUCUCCUCUCUUCUUCUAUACAAAGGCCUUCUAUUUAGUGCAUGGCUUCUCUUGGUGCACCACAAGUUGCUGAAGCUGCCAGCAUGAUCUGAUCUCUCCUCUAUCCUUGUGAUCUUGAUUUUUUUUUUUCCAAAAGAAGCCCAUCAGAUCAUCUGGCAGUUUCAUCUACUGAUGGGAGCACAAAGAAAACCCUAACCCUGAUCCCCACCUCAUGCUCACUAGGGUUUCAUGAAGAACCCUUGGGGGAUAAACUGAAAUAUUUAUUGGUUUUGAAUCACUUGAUUGAUUUAAGCUUAUGGAUGCCUAUAAUCUCCGUUCUUUUAUCUUUUUUGUACUCUUUAAUCUUGUCGUGAUUGUUGUUUGCUAUUGGUAGCUGUGUUAUACGAGGAGGAUUAGGAAGAAUCUUAACAUACGAGGAGGAUGCUGGGGUUUUCGGGUUGAGGGCACCGCCUUGGCCUCGGGUGGUGGAGCUACACACCCUUCUAUAUUGGCCUGAACUCUACCUCAAGUAGUAAUAGUCACCAUAUGUACAACUUGGCAUAUAUAUUACGUGGUGCUGGGAGGCAAGAAUCCUUUCUCCUCUUCUCUGUUGUUGCUAUUAAAUUUGUAUUGUAUGUAUGCACAUGGAUGCAUGUGUUGUUUAUGGACAAAUGAGUACAUGCAUGCGCAAAGAAUGAGAAUUGCAUU